GGGCUUGUGGUUUAGUGGUAUAAUACUCCCUUAGCACGUGACGAAGCCUGCUUAAGUCCGCCUAAAAUGGGAGUGGUCCGGGGUUCGAUUCCCCGCGAGUCCA